rnacentral:rRNA from 1 species
GACGGAGGGUGCUAGCGUUGUUCGGAAUGACUGGGCGUAAAGGGCGCGUAGGCGGCUCGUGAAGUCGGGUGUGAAAUCUCGGAGCUUAACUCCGAAACUGCAUUCGAUACUGCCGUGCUUGAGGACUGGAGAGGAGACUGGAAUUUACGGUGUAGCGGUGAAAUGCGUAGAUAUCGUAAGGAAGACCAGUGGCGAAGGCGGGUCUCUGGACAGUUCCUGACACUGAGACACGAAGGCCAGGGGAGCAAACGGG